rnacentral:rRNA from 1 species
UACGUAGGGUGCGAGCGUUGUCCGGAAUUAUUGGGCGUAAAGAGCUUGUAGGUGGUUUGUCGCGUCUGCUGUGAAAAUCCGAGGCUCAACCUCGGACUUGCAGUGGGUACGGGCAGACUAGAGUGUGGUAGGGGAGACUGGAAUUCCUGGUGUAGCGGUGGAAUGCGCAGAUAUCAGGAGGAACACCGAUGGCGAAGGCGGGUCUCGUGGGCC